rnacentral:lncRNA from 1 species
GAGACUUCAGUCUAGACUUAGCAUGAGCAAGCUGGCCACGGUAGAGGCUCCCACCACCGCGGACUCUGACAGUCUUGCAGAGUUGUUUGGGCAGCCGCAAACCUGGAGGAGAGUUUUACUUCCCUCUUCCCUCGGAGUCAGCAAGCAGUCUCUGAAAUCGCACCUGCUAACAAGUCCAGGCAGCCUCUGCGCGCGUCGCUCCUGACGUCUUGGUUUGUAUGAUUUGUCAUAACACCGGAGUCUGGGCUUCAAACUGAUUCUAGAAAGCCAUGAAAAACGACACAGGUUGAAAGGAUGAAGCAAAAAUGUCCCCUUCCUGGAAUUUUAUAUAUACCAGGAUUUUUAAUAAAAGCCCAUCUUCUGUUAUCCAUGUCUCUCCAUACCUGGCAUUCUCUCCCAUUCAUCCUGGACUCCAGGGGCUGCAUCUUGUUCAGCUCCGUCUUCCCACAGAGCAUGGCAUGAUGCCUUGUAACAGCAGACCUCCCUCACAGCUUCCCUAAACUAGCGCAAUCAAUCGGUGGCUCAGUGUCUGCUCUCCAGACACCUGACCCAGUCUGCUUCCUACGCCACCUUGAUUAUCUUUCUGUUGCACUGUGUUGUUUUUUAAUGUAAAGAAAAAAAAUGGCAUUUUCCAUUUACGUUGCAAAUAAGACAACAGCAAUACAAGACAUUUCUGUAUGCUUUGUUUACUAUUGCAGGGCUAUGGCCCAAAUUCUGGGACCUCUGUGUACUACAGAGAAGUGCUCUGUUACAGAGCUAUGCCUCUGUCUCAAAUCAGUCUUUUAAAAAUAAUUUUAAUUAACU